GCUAGUGUGGUGUAGUGGUUAGAAUGCUAGACUAUGACUUGGGAGACCAGGGUUAAAAUCCCUACUCAGCCAUAAAGCU